rnacentral:rRNA from 1 species
GAUGAACGCUGGCGGCGUGCCUGAUACAUGCAAGUCGAGCGAACGGACGAGAAGCUUGCUUCUCUGAUGUUAGCGGCGGACGGGUGAGUAACACGUGGAUAACCUACAUAUAAGACUGGGAUAACUUCGGGAAACCGGAGCUAAUACCGGAUAAUAUUUUGAACCGCAUGGUUCAAAAGUGAAAGACGGUCUUGCUGUCACUUAUAGAUGGAUCCGCGCUGCAUUAGCUAGUUGGUAAGGUAACGGCUUACCAAGGCAACGAUGCAUAGCCGACCUGAGAGGGUGAUCGGCCACACUGGAACUGAGACACGGUCCAGACUCCUACGGGAGGCAGCAGUAGGGAAUCUUCCGCAAUGGGCGAAAGCCUGACGGAGCAACGCCGCGUGAGUGAUGAAGGUCUUCGGAUCGUAAAACUCUGUUAUUAGGGAAGAACAUAUGUGUAAGUAACUGUGCACAUCUUGACGGUACCUAAUCAGAAAGCCACGGCUAACUACGUG